AUUGAACGCUGGCGGCAGGCCUAACACAUGCAAGUCGAGCGGAUGAAGGGAGCUUGCUCCUGGAUUCAGCGGCGGACGGGUGAGUAAUUCCUAGGAAUCUGCCUUGUAGUUGGGGAUAACGUCCGGAAACGGGCGCUAAUCCCGCAUACGUCCUUAGGUAGAACGUGGUGGUUCUUCGGACCUCACGCUUCCAGCUGAGCCUAGGUCGGAUUAGCUAGUUGGUUGGGUAACGGCCUACCAAGGCGACGAUCCGUAACUGGUCUGAGAGGAUGAUCAGUCACACUGGAACUGAGACACGGUCCAGACUCCUACGGGAGGCAGCAGUGGGGAAUAUUGGACAAUGGGCGAAAGCCUGAUCCAGCCAUGCCGCGUGUGUGAAGAAGGUCUUCGGAUUGUAAAGCACUUUAAGUAGGGAGGAAGGGAAGUAAGUUAAUACCUUGCUGUUUUGACGUUACCAAAAGAAUAAGCACCGGCUAACUUCGUG
rnacentral:rRNA from 1 species